AUCAGAUAAUAAGGGAUAUAUGAUAAGCUGAAAGGAUACAGAAAUGAAGGAGUACGACCAGCAAGGUGAAGUCCUAGAACAAGGUUAUCAACACAUGAUUAUACCACUGAAGCCUUGCCAAUUUCAAGGAAGUGAGCUUUCACAGGAGCAGAGUAUGGGCCCUGCUGCUUCUAGGCCACAUGGCAAAUCCUAUCUACAGUUUGUAUGCUGUAAGUAAAUUCCCAGCAUGUAACUAAGAUAACUAUAGAUGAUGAGUUUCAAUGCUUCUGCAUGACCAUGAAUUAAUUUAUAUGGAUCAUAUGUUAUUAAAACUUAACAGAACUAUUAGCACAACACUCUGUUUAAGGUAAUACCAGUUAAGAUUGUCACCUGGGUCUUCAGCUUGAAUCACGGCAUAAAGUAUUAGUGGAGAUUGAUAUCCAUGAGCUUAACAUAUGGGCCAGCUGCAGGUAUUUAUAUUUUUGGAUGACUCCAGUGAUUUGCAGAUGUGUAAAAUGGUGUUCUAGAG
rnacentral:lncRNA from 1 species